GUCGACGCACUCUCGUUUAGAUUGAAGGAGCUUGCUCCUGAUUGAUAAACAUUUGAGUGAGUGGCGGACGGGUGAGUAACACGUGGGUAACCUGCCCUAAAGUGGGGGAUAACAUUUGGAAACAGAUGCUAAUACCGCAUAAAACCUAACACCGCAUGGUGUAGGGUUGAAAGAUGGUUUCGGCUAUCACUUUAGGAUGGACCCGCGGUGCAUUAGUUAGUUGGUGAGGUAAAGGCUCACCAAGACCGUGAUGCAUAGCCGACCUGAGAGGGUAAUCGGCCACACUGGGACUGAGACACGGCCCAGACUCCUACGGGAGGCAGCAGUAGGGAAUCUUCCACAAUGGACGAAAGUCUGAUGGAGCAACGCCGCGUGAGUGAAGAAGGUUUUCGGAUCGUAAAACUCUGUUGUUGGAGAAGAAUGUAUCUGAUAGUAACUGAUCAGGUAGUGACGGUAUCCAACCAGAAAGCCACGGCUAACUACGUGCCAGCAGCCGCGGUAAUACGUAGGUGGCAAGCGUUGUCCGGAUUUAUUGGGCGUAAAGCGAGCGCAGGCGGUUUCUUAAGUCUGAUGUGAAAGCCUUCGGCUCAACCGAAGAAGUGCAUCGGAAACUGGGAAACUUGAGUGCAGAAGAGGACAGUGGAACUCCAUGUGUAGCGGUGAAAUGCGUAGAUAUAUGGAAGAACACCAGUGGCGAAGGCGGCUGUCUGGUCUGUAACUGACGCUGAGGCUCGAAAGCAUGGGUAGCAAACAGGAUUAGAUACCCUGGUAGUCCAUGCCGUAAACGAUGAGUGCUAGGU
rnacentral:rRNA from 2 species